AUGACAACACGCUCGAUCGUAAGGGAAGACUAUCAUGGCGACGGUGCGAGAUAACCUCGAGCUCUUUCGAACGUUCUUUUAUCCAUUUACUAUACUUUCUAAGAUUUAACUGGUGAUUUACGGAGUAUGUCUAUUGGUGUCGAAACGAUCGGAGAACGAGUAAUACCUACUUAACUCGAAUCGUGCUUUACAGAUAGGAGAAGUUUCAUUCAAGAUGGAGAACAAACGUGAAAAGAAAAUGGAACGAUCUGCGUGCAAGUCCUUAUAUAUAUAUAUAUAUAACGAAUAACAGGAAGAUUGGUAUGAUCUAAUCAUGGAAUCUACUUCGAGCCCUGAACAAAGCAAACUGAACAACCUUAGUUCGUAAGAUGAUCUUAGAGGGAAGAGAAAGACGAGAAUCCAAUCAAAACCGAAUAGAAGAGGCCAUCGAAUAUCCGACGACUACGUUUGCCUUCUGCGAAGCAAUUAUCCCUUUUGCUAAGAAUGGUCUUAGGAACGUAAUUAAUCUCCUUGGCAAUCAACGUUAACAACACUAUGAACAUUACUCGUUCCAAAAAAUUUCCGAGGAAUACGAAACGAUACGUGUCGGUCUUCUUCCAACAAGAGACUGCUCUCGCUUCGGUAGUUUACUUUAGGUAUAAACACAACGGUUCGGCGGGUAAACGACGAGGUGACGUAGAAAAAAAAAGAGAGAGAGAGAGAGAGAGAAAAGGGUUUAUCUAUUUUUUGCGUGUAUGAGCUAUUCGAAGAAAAGAAAAAAACGAACGAACGAACGAACGAACGAAUGGUUGACCUUUCGGCAUAACUCUAGUUUUUAUGCAAAGCCCUUCGGACAAAUGGAAAGCAGAUUUUUCGGAUAUUCCAUACCUACGUAGAAAAAUAUCUACAUUGGGAAAGAGGACUGGCAAAAAAAUUCUAUGUCGAUUUGAAACGACUAGGAGAGUUGUGGGAGACGAAUUUCUUGUUUUUUUUCUUUUUUCUUCUUUCCUCUUUCCUUUUCU